AUUGAACGCUGGCGGCAGGCCUAACACAUGCAAGUCGAACGAGUGGCGGACGGGUGAGUCAUGUCUGGGAAACUGCCUGAUGGAGGGGGCUACCUACUGGAAACGGUAGCUAAUCCCGCAUACCAUCGGAUUUGCCCAGAUGGGCUUGGCUUGUAGGUGGGGUAACGGCUCACCUAGGCGACGAUCCCUAGCUGGUCUGAGAGGAUGACCGGCCAAACGGGAACGUGGACACGGGCCAGACUCCUCGGGGGGGCGGCAGAGGGGAAUAUGGGAAAAUGGGGGCAAGCCUGAUGCGGCCAUGCCGGGUGGAUGAAGAAGGCCUUGGGGUUGUAAAGUACUUUCAGCGGGGAGGCGUUACCCGCAGAAGAAGCACCGGCUAACUCCGUGCCAGCAGCCGCGGUAAUUC
rnacentral:rRNA from 1 species